rnacentral:rRNA from 1 species
CACGUAGUUAGCCGUGGCUUUCUGAUUAGGUACCGUCAAGACGUGCACAGUUACUUACACAUUUGUUCUUCCCUAAUAACAGAGUUUUACGAUCCGAAGACCUUCAUCACUCACGCGGCGUUGCUCCGUCAGGCUUUCGCCCAUUGCGGAAGAUUCCCUACUGCUGCCUCCCGUAGGAGUCUGGACCGUGUCGUCAGUUCCAGUGUGGCCGAUCACCCUCUCAGGUCGGCUACGUAUCGUUGCCUUGGUAAGCCAUUACCCCACCAACUAGCUAAUACGGCGCGGGUCCAUCUAUAAGUGAUAGCAAAAACCAUCUUUCACUUUAGAACCAUGCGGUUCUAAAUAUUAUCCGGCAUUAGCCCCGGUUUCCCGGAGUUAUUCCAGUCUUAUAGGUAGGUUACCCACGUGUUACUCACCCGUCCGCCGCUAACGUCAAAAGGAGCAAGCUCCUUAUCUGUUCGCUCGACUUUGCAUGUAUUAGGCACGCCGCCAGCGUCAUCUGAGCCAGGA